UACCUUCAUUUUCGCGGUGGUUUCACUUCGAUUGACCUCCUGAAACUGAAAUGGUUCACAGAUCAAGAUCUGGUCAGAUCUGACUUUGUCGAAUUAAACCAGGAGCUUGGAAACGAAUUUUCGAAUGAAACAAAUUGGGGGAUACUUAGUUAGUGCCAUGGUGAUAGCUAGAGAGGCAAUUGCUAAGUCGUGGCACUCUCAUACCUCUACUAGAUGCGAACAAUUCCGGAGAAGAAGAAGAAGUGGAAUCGGACGAGGAUUUUAUUUAUGUUGUUGGUAUUCUUAUAUUGAUGGAGUUGAAGAAGUCCAGGGACAAAUAA